rnacentral:sRNA from 1 species
GACCACCUCAGCACGGGCAUCACCGCCCA